rnacentral:rRNA from 1 species
CCUACGGGAGGCAGCAGUGAGGAAUAUUGGUCAAUGGACGAGAGUCUGAACCAGCCAAGUAGCGUGAAGGAUGACUGCCCUAUGGGUUGUAAACUUCUUUUAUAUGGGAAUAAAAUGUUCCACGUGUGGGAUUUUGUAUGUACCAUAUGAAUAAGGAUCGGCUAACUCCGUGCCAGCAGCCGCGGUAAUACGGAGGAUCCGAGCGUUAUCCGGAUUUAUUGGGUUUAAAGGGAGCGUAGGUGGAUUGUUAAGUCAGUUGUGAAAGUUUGCGGCUCAACCGUAAAAUUGCAGUUGAUACUGGCAGGCUUGAGUACAGUAGAGGUGGGCGGAAUGCGUGGUGUAGCGGUGAAAUGCUUAGAUAUCACGAAGAACUCCGAUUGCGAAGGCAGCUCACUGGACUGCAACUGACACUGAGGCUCGAAAGUGUGGGUAUCAAACAGGAUUAGAUACCCGGGUAGUC